rnacentral:pre_miRNA from 1 species
ACCGGGAAAACUCACUGUAAGACCAUCCAGUAAAGCAUCGCAAGACUUCACCGGGUGUCUUGCAGUGAGAUUUUAGAAU